rnacentral:lncRNA from 1 species
AAGAGAAUCCGAUAGCAGAAUGAUGACUGAUAAUUUGGGAGAGGGGUGUUAAUUUUCACUGUUAGAAAUCGAGAGCACUUAUCAUUUUGUACAUGUUAAUAAUGUCCAAUGAUUUAUAUUUGUCGAUUCAGCGGGUUUUACAUGAUCUCUUGAACUUACAAAUGACCUUUUAACCAUCAUCACAUUAGAAUCCAUGCUGUGUCUAAAGGCCAUCACAGAACAUAGUUUGUUAUACUGUUUAGCAGAGAAGCAGGAAUAAAUGGUAAAACCGAAAAUCUUUCCCAAGGAGAUAUUCAUAGGCGGUGGUUAACCAGAGUAGGAAAAGAGAGUCCUUUGGAAGAUCAGUAUCAAUUGAUCAGUUUUACUUUCCAUGGAGACAGUGUUCUAUGAGCACAGCGGAAAACACAGAUGGUUUUGGACCUGCGGACUUAGUGCUCAGAAUUCCCUUAAGCUGUACAAACUAAGAAAGUAACUUUUUUCAUGUUCUCCAUGAAACCAAAAUGA